UAUCCAGUUUAAAAAAAAAAGUUUGAUAAUUAUUUCAGUACGACUGCUUUCCUUUGUAACCCUGAGCUUUUUAUUUGACCAGUCUUUAUUUAUUUAUUUAUUUGAGAAUAGGACCCUGGGUUUCACCAGAUUACUGAAGGAAAUCCAUGACCUCUGCCCUCAUUUUUUUCCGCAAACACAAUGCGGAAACAGAAAUGACAGGUCAGGGUUACGUGGGUCUGAAGAAAUAGCCAAGUUUGCGAAGUGCAGUGAGUCAUCUUUGUUUUCUUUUUUGGUCGGUUCGAAAAUUGCGGCAUAUGGGAACUUCACUAAGGCUGUGCUUGGGGAUCCAUGCCCUCUUCUCUCUAAUUCUCUUGUCUUAAACAAUCUGAGCUCUGUGGGAGUUGUGGACUAGUUAAGCAGGACAAAAAGGCCCUUUUUGCGGAAUACCUGUACUUCGUUUCUUUUCGCCAACAUACACAAAAUAGAAGUCCUGUACUUUAAAUCCCGUGCUCCUUCCACGCUGCGAAGCUGGAGAACCAUUCUCUAAAUUGUUAAAUUCUAUUAUUAUUCAUUUUUAUUAUUUUAUUAUUAACGUUUGUUGAAAGGAAGUGAAGCAGGAAAACAAUUUUCCCCAGUUUUACGCUCAUCAUGAAGAUUUAAUUCUAGAAAGGUCAAGAUGAAAUAUUUAAAUGAAAAUGAUACUGAAUAAUCCAAGUUUGGAGUCCUUCUCCACAGUGGAUCAGACAAAGGAUGUUCCUAAGAUUUACAUUUAAAGAACAAGAAGUCUGAAAGCCAGAGAUAAGCCAUGGUAACAAAAACUGAACUCAUACAUCAGACUGGCCUUUCUCCCAAGCUACCAGAGAAAACAAUAGCUUAAAGGUAGAACCUGCGCCUCUGACUAAAAGGGGAUUUCCAAAAUUCUCUGACUGCACUAGAACCCCAUCAAGGGGAGCUUGGAUUGGAAGAGGAAAAGAGGCAGGGAGAUCAACUAGCAAAUUUCAGAGUGAGCGAGACCAAGUGAAGUUUUCUCAAGAAGUCUAUGAGAUAAAGAAAUGGAAUUUACAGAAGGAAACAUCAUAAUGAGCAUCAGGAACUGGAAAAAAACAACCCACAACCAUUGAGUUUUACUUCUUUAGAACAGUUCUAUGCUGAUGAGAGGAAAGCAAUAUAAGUUCAAGAGGAUGGAUGUUAAUUUGCAUACCUAAUUAAAGAACCACAAUCAACUUUUAAAGAUCUUUGGUAAAGGGGGACCAAAGCAACUGAGUGAAAAUCAUUAGUAAUGUUCAAACUCCAUUUUAGGCAAGAGUUUUCCAUUCUCCCUCAUUAAUUAACCUACCUUUCACCUAAUAAUAAAGUAGACUGCAAAUAAGAGGAACAAUAAAGUUUGAGUGACCUUCAGGAGAUUUUCUAAUUUUCUCCCUCUCAACUAUGGUACAGAAAGUGCUAUCAAG